rnacentral:rRNA from 1 species
AUGACGGUACUUGAGGAAUAAGCCACGGCUAAUUCCGUGCCAGCAGCCGCGGUAAUACGGGAGUGGCAAGCGUUAUCCGGAAUUAUUGGGCGUAAAGCGUCCGCAGGCGGCCUUGUAAGUCUGUCGUUAAAGCGUGGAGCUUAACUCCAUUUCAGCGAUGGAAACUACAAGGCUUGAGUGUGGUAGGGGCAGAGGGAAUUCCCGGUGUAGCGGUGAAAUGCGUAGAUAUCGGGAAGAACACCAGUGGCGAAGGCGCUCUGCUGGGCCAUAACUGACGCUCAUGGACGAAAGCCAGGGGAGCGAAAGGGAUUAGAUAC